rnacentral:rRNA from 1 species
UACCAGCUCUCCGAGUGGUAGGGAUGAUUAUUGGGCUUAAAGCGUCCGUAGCCGGCUUAGCAAGUCUCCUGUUAAAUUCAGCGACCUAAUCGUUGAGCCGCGGGAGAUACUACUAGGCUAGGAGGCGGGAGAGGUCGACGGUACUUCCGGGGUAGGGGUGAAAUCCUAUAAUCCCGGGAGGACCACCAGUGGCGAAGGCUGUCGACUAGAACGCGCUCGACGGUGAGGGACGAAAGCUGGGGGAGCGAACCGGAUUAGAUACCCGCGUA